UGGCUCACUUUGGCAGCAUAUUUGUUAAAAUUGGAAUGAUACGGAGACAAUUAGCAUAGCCCCUGGGCAAGGAUGACACACAAAUUCAUGAAGGUUUCCAUAUUUUU